GGUGACAGCCCCGUACACAAAAAUGCACAUGCUGUGAGCUCGAUGAGUAGGGCGGGACACGUGGUAUCCUGUCUGAAUAUGGGGGGACCAUCCUCCAAGGCUAAAUACUCCUGACUGACCGAUAGUGAACCAGUACCGUGAGGGAAAGGCGAAAAGAACCCCGGCGAGGGGAGUGAAAAAGAACCUGAAACCGUGUACGUACAAGCAGUGGGAGCACGCUUAGGCGUGUGACUGCGUACCUUUUGUAUAAUGGGUCAGCGACUUAUAUUCUGUAGCAAGGUUAACCGAAUAGGGGAGCCGAAGGGAAACCGAGUCUUAACUGGGCGUUAAGUUGCAGGGUAUAGACCCGAAACCCGGUGAUCUAGCCAUGGGCAGGUUGAAGGUUGGGUAACACUAACUGGAGGACCGAACCGACUAAUGUUGAAAAAUUAGCGGAUGACUUGUGGCUGGGGGUGAAAGGCCAAUCAAACCGGGAGAUAGCUGGUUCUCCCCGAAAGCUAUUUAGGUAGCGCCUCGUGAAUUCAUCUCCGGGGGUAGAGCACUGUUUCGGCAAGGGGGUCAUCCCGACUUACCAACCCGAUGCAAACUGCGAAUACCGGAGAAUGUUAUCACGGGAGACACACGGCGGGUGCUAACGUCCGUCGUGAAGAGGGAAACAACCCAGACCGCCAGCUAAGGUCCCAAAGUCAUGGUUAAGUGGGAAACGAUGUGGGAAGGCCCAGACAGCCAGGAUGUUGGCUUAGAAGCAGCCAUCAUUUAAAGAAAGCGUAAUAGCUCACUGGUCGAGUCGGCCUGCGCGGAAGAUGUAACGGGGCUAAACCAUGCAC
rnacentral:rRNA from 1 species